UACGUAGGGUGCGAGCGUUAAUCGGAAUUACUGGGCGUAAAGCGUGCGCAGGCGGUUCGUUGUGUCGGUGGUGAAAUCCCCGGGCUUAACCUGGGAAUGGCCAUGGAAACUGGCGAACUGGAGUGCGGCAGAGGGGGGUGGGAAUUCCGCGUGUAGCAGUGAAAUGCGCAGAUAUCGGGAGGAACACCAAUGGCGAAGGCAGCUCGCUGGGACGUUACUGACGCUGAGACGGCGAAAAGCGUGGGGGAGCAAACAGGG
rnacentral:rRNA from 1 species